rnacentral:rRNA from 1 species
AGCGUGGAGACAGGUGGUGCAUGGCUGUCGUCAGCUCGCGUCGUGAGAUGUUGGGUUAAGUCCCGCAACGAGCGCAACCCUCACCUCUUGUUGCCAUCAGGUCAUGCUGGGCACUCUAGAGGAACUGCCCCGGUCAACGGGGAGGAAGGCGGGGAUGACGUCAAGUUAUCAUGCCCCUUACGUCCUGGGCUACACACGUGCUACAAUGGCCGGUACAAAGGGAUGCCACACCGCGAGGUAGAGCUAAACCCAAAAAGCCGGUCUAAGUUCAGAUUGGAGUCUGCAACUCGACUCCAUGAAGGAGGAAUCGCUAGUAAUCGCGUAUCAGCACGACGCGGUGAAUACGUUCCCGGGCCUUGUACACACCGCCCGUCACACCACGAAAGCCUGCUGUACUCGAAGUCGCUGAG